rnacentral:SRP_RNA from 1 species
UGGUUCAGGCUGGCAACGGAGCAGA